rnacentral:rRNA from 1 species
GACGAACGCUGGCGGCGUGCUUAACACAUGCAAGUCGAACGGAAAGGCCCUUCGGGGUACUCGAGUGGCGAACGGGUGAGUAACACGUGGGUGAUCUGCCCUGCACUUUGGGAUAAGCCUGGGAAACUGGGUCUAAUACCGAAUAGGACCGCAUGCUUCAUGGUGUGUGGUGGAAAGCUUUUGCGGUGUGGGAUGGGCCCGCGGCCUAUCAGCUGGUUGGUGGGGUAAUGGCCUACCAAGGCGACGACGGGUAGCCGGCCUGAGAGGGUGACCGGCCACACUGGGACUGAGAUACGGCCCAGACUCCGACGGGAGGCAGCAGUGGGGAAUAUUGCACAAUGGGCGCAAGCCUGAUGCAGCGACGCCGCGUGAGGGAUGACGGCCUUCGGGUUGUAAACCUCUUUCAGCAGGGACGAAGCGCAAGUGACGGUACCUGCAGAAGAAGGACCGGCCAACUACGUGCCAGCCGCCGCGGUAA